rnacentral:tRNA from 1 species
UGUGGCUCAGCCGUAGAGUGCAUGCCUAGCAUGCAUGAAGCAUUGGGUUCGAUCCUCAACA